rnacentral:rRNA from 1 species
UACAGAGGGUGCGAGCGUUAAUCGGAAUUACUGGGCGUAAAGCGUGCGUAGACGGUUAUCUAAGUCAGAUGUGAAAGCCCCGGGCUCAACCUGGGAAUUGCAUUUGAGACUGAAUAGCUAGGGUGCGGUAGAGGGAAGCGGAAUUUCCGGUGUAGCGGUGAAAUGCGUAGAUAUCGGAAGGAACAUCAGUGGCGAAAGCGGCUUCCUGGACCAGCACCGACGUUCAGGCACGAAAGCGUGGGAAGCAAACAGG